rnacentral:rRNA from 1 species
UACAGAGGGUGCAAGCGUUGUUCGGAAUUAUUGGGCGUAAAGGGCGCGUAGGCGGCCUGGCAAGUGGAUGGUGAAAUCCCUCGGCUUAACCGAGGAACUGCCAUCCAGACUGCUUGGCUUGAGACCGGGAGAGGUGAGUGGAAUUCCCAGUGUAGCGGUGAAAUGCGUAGAUAUUGGGAGGAACACCAGUGGCGAAGGCGGCUCACUGGACCGGUACUGACGCUGAGGCGCGAAAGCGUGGGGAGCAAACGGG